rnacentral:rRNA from 1 species
AACGAACGCUGGCGGCGCGCCUAACACAUGCAAGUCGAACGGGGUUAUAGCAUGAAACCUGCUUCGGUAGGUGGAGCGUUAUAACUUAGUGGCGGACGGGUGAGUAACACAUAGGUAACCAACCCUUAGGAUUGGGAUACUCCCGGGAAACCGGGCACAAUACCGGAUAUGAUUCCAGGGUGAAAUGCCCAGGGAUAAAAGCUGCGAGCAAUCGUGGCACCUAAGGACGGGCCUGUGGCCUAUCAGCUAGUUGGUGAGGUAAAGGCUCACCAAGGCGAAGACGGGUAGCCGGACUGAGAGGUUGAACGGCCACACUGGAACUGAGACACGGUCCAGACUCCUNACGGGAGGCAGCAGUGGGGAAUUUUGCGCAAUGGGCGAAAGCCUGACGCAGCGACGCCGCGUGGGGGAAGAAGGCCUUUGGGUUGUAAACUCCUUUCGUGAGGGAAAAAGUCCCGAGCAAUCGGGAUGAUGGUACCUCAGGAAGAAGCCACGCUAACU